CUCCACAACCAGUGGCAUAGGAACAAGUUUUAUUUUGGGGAGGCUACUCAGUUCUGGAGCAUGCUCCCCCGGGGAAAAAAUUGAGGCUCGGAAAUGCCAUUUCUGGCACCGAAUCGACGAAUUUGGAUGGAAAAAUGCUCCUGUCUACCCCAGACAUUUGUGUCAUUUGUGGCUUGUGCGACUUUUUGUGAUUUUCGAGUGCUGGGGGCUUUACACCCCAAAAAUCUGCGAAAAAAACUUGUUUCACAUUUUCAUCACUUAAAGGGGCCCUACAGUCAUUUUUUAGUCGAAGAGUCACCUUAAGUAGGCCGUUUCCACGGAGGUUCGUAUGGCUGUAUUUUACAUGCAGUAUCCAUGAAUAUGAGUUCUUCCGUACACCGGAAAACGCAUGCAUGCCGUGGUGCGCAUGUCAAUUAGCGACAAUAACAAGAAUAUGUAAACAAUACCUUUCGACUAAAAAAUGACUGUAGGGCCCCUUUAAUACAAUAAAUAUAAUAGCAAAUAAGAUUUUAAAGUCAUAGUACAAAUCUAACCAGCACAGAGGGCAGCAGGGGCAACUCAUCCCGUGAUGCUGAAAUACUCACCAGGGUUUCGAGCUGGAUUCGUAUGUUUUUUGUGUGGAACGUCGAGUUGCUGAGAUGAGUAAUUCGGCAACGUUUCUCGAAAUCCCUUCUGUUUGAUAUCGUUGGCGGAGUUAUGAAAUGCGCCCAGAUGAAGGCAAGGGAUCAUCGGGUGAAUCUGUCGGGUUUAUCAGAAGUUUCGUUGAGGUUGGUAGACGAACUGGUUGCUGCACCAGCAGACUGAGUAGUAGGGGCCACCGAGGCUGAGCGUGCCAUAUUGGGGACACUAGGACAAUUUCUGCCUUGUCCGAAACGACCUUGUUGAGCACUCGCGCAAUUAAAUUGAAUGGUGAAUGGAGGGAAUGCGUAACCCGCUAGAUGUUUCCAAUUCACGCUGAAUGCAUCCGAAUGAAGAGAGUGGGGGUUUGGCCAGCUGAUGAAAAUCGUCAAUUGAUGGGUGAGUCCCGAGGCGAACAGAUCUGUGGACCAGCCCUUCAGAAAGGAGCGGAUAACUACCGGUAUUAUGUACAGGUCGUUCCGAAUUAAUGCAUCAGUUCCAAAGUCGGGGCGUUACAUGGAGGAGUUCUGGGGAGUGAGUGCCUCCCUUGUGAUUGACGUAAGCCACUUCGGUUGAGUUGUCCAUGUUCAGUGAUAUUAUCUUCGAAUGUUGAUUCUUUAUAAGAGACUGUAUUCCCAGCAUAGCACCUUUCAGUUCGAGAACCUUUAUAUGUAACAGUUAUUUCUCUGUGGCUGAUAUGUAACAGUUAUUUCUCUGUGGCUGAUAUGUAACAGUUAUUUCUCCGUGGCUGACAAUCUUCCGUUUGUCUCAAUGUUGCCGCAGGUAGCCCCAGCCCUUCGAGGAGGCAUCCGUGAAGAUUGUAAGGUCUGGAGUAGGGGGAAUAAUUGGGCUUCCAUUGACUUUCUCUAAGUUCGAAUUCUGGAGCUACCAGUUGAUUUCCUGUUUGGAUUGAAAGCAUAAGGGAUCUAGGGUUUCGUAGUUGCAAUUGUGAUUCGAUUGGUUCAGACCUUUGAUUAGGAGGGCUUGUAAGCAACGAAAAUGAAGAGGUGCUUUCUAAACCGCUUUGUGUCUCGAGCAGUCCCAAUAAUUGACUAAGAUUCGAAGCCUGAGCCAAUCUGACGACAUAGUAUUAGUAGUUUCUGUACCUUUUCGGAGGCAGAGUGAAGAGCAUUGUUGAUAUGUUAUCGAAUUGAUCGUAAACCCAGUGAAUGCGAUUAUCCGAUUUGGGGUUAGUACCGACUUCUCUUAGUUUAUUAUAAAACCCAGAGAUUCCAGGAGCUUGACGGGUCUCCUAGCCUGUGGAGUCGAUCCGAUGAUGAGCAUAUCGUCCAAGUACGGGACUAGGCGGAUGCCCCGUUUCCUUAACACUGAUAGUGCUAUGUUUAGAUCGAAUGGAAAAGAAUGGAACUGGUAUGCUUUGUUUUGCCAUAAAAAUGGAAGGAAUUUUUUACUCUGAGGGUGUAUAGCCAUCAAAAGGUACGCGUC